rnacentral:rRNA from 1 species
AGCAGCCGCCGCGGGAAUACGUAGGUGGCAAGCGUUGUCCGGAGUUAUUGGGCGUAAAGGGCUCGCAGGCGGUUUCUUAAGUCUGAUGUGAAAGCCCCCGGCUCAACCGGGGAGGGUCAUUGGAAACUGGGAAACUUGAGUGCAGAAGAGGAGAGUGGAAUUCCACGUGUAGCGGUGAAAUGCGUAGAGAUGUGGAGGAACACCAGUGGCGAAGGCGACUCUCUGGUCUGUAACUGACGCUGAGGAGCGAAAGCGUGGGGAGCGAACAGGAUUAGAUACCCCCGUAGUCCCUGUCUCUUAUAA